ACUCAAUGAGGGCAACCCCUGAGUAAAGUCCAUGCGGACAACCAUUCAUCUCCUCCGACAACCAUUCAUCUCCUCCGACCCCCGCCCAGCACUAGACUGCGCUCCUAGCACCGCGCCUUCUUCCGGAGCCUCCUCCCCCGGGCUGGCUAGGGGCUGUGGCCCCGCAGCAGAGGAAGCAGUGGUGGUGGCGUCGGCGGCGGCGGCGGCGGCAGCCGGAGCGAGCAGUAGCCGAGCUGGUGAGCGGGUGUGGUGGGGGUGGGGAAGGAGGGUAGGGAUGCCGGGGGCCACUCCUGCGUGGUGCGAGUGGGAACGCGCGCGCGCGCCUGGGUGUGUGUUGUUAGCUGAUAUCCAUGGCAGCUGCAGUGGCAGGGUGCGUGUGCGUGUGUGUGUGUGUGUGUGUGUGUACUAGUUCUACUGUACUGGCAGACGGGAGGAGGCAGGGGAGGAGGGGCGCGCGCGCCGGGUGGGGAGCCACGGAGGGCUUCGCCGCUGCCUCCCUCCCUCCCUCCGCAGCUUGACCCGGUAGUGAAGGCAGAGAGAGAGGCAGGCUGGGUCCGCCUGGCAGCCUACGGGAGGAGGCGGGAGCCGGGAAGGAGGGGAGCCUAGGCCCGGCGUGGGGAGGCCGGCAGGAAGGGCCUCGAGCCCAGUGCGGACCUUUCUUCAGCCUCUGUGCGACCGAGCCGCGCGCCAGGCUCCUGUGCGAGGAGGACGCGCUGACUCCCUCCGACCUGGGCUCCGAUGGAGCAGAAAUAGCGGGACCUGGACUUGUGGCGCGCCUGGUGCCACAUCUCGGGCUCUGCGAGCGUCCUGGCGCGGGAUCCUGCCGUUUGCAUCCAAGAGAGGGGAGGACAGGGGCAAAAGGAUGCAGGGAGGCUGCUGAUUUCCACUGAAGAGCUAAUUUCCUGUGAGACAUUAACAGUGAUUUAAGAAAAAGAUUCCUGUAACUGUAAUGUCUUACAAUAACAGAAUGCAGGAGAGCACAUAUCAAUGAAGAAAAGACAAAAUGUACUUAUCCAUGAAGCUGAGGUUAAGAAACCAGUGUCUUCAAGAGCCAGGGACAGCACUGGGUCUGUGCAGAGUUGAGAGAUGGUGAUGACAUGUGACAGAGCUCCUUGCUGCUCAAAUUUUAUGCCAGAUAAAAUAUUCACCUUCUCGGACUCCCUGGCACCAGGCAUGGCCAUGUAAUCCUACAGCACAGCUGAUGAAAGAGAAGACAUCUUGCUGCUAUUUGACAAGCAAGAAGAUAAAAGCUUUCCUAUAAAGAUGAUGGAGCAAAAAAAUAGAAGGGGCCUAGACUCCCUACCUUCACACUUCCUGCUAUAAAAGCAUUGCUAUUAUAAGGUUAAUCUGCAGAAACAGACUUCUAUGUCAUAUGCUUAAAUGCAUCAAAAUUCAUACAAUAUCCAUUAAAUUGGUAAAAGUAUCCAUUUUAAAGGAUUAAUCUGAGGGACCCACAGACACUUAACACAAUCAAAUCUCAGAAAAAAAAUCAGUUAUUUCAUUGUGAUUUUGAGGCUGAUCUUUUAUGAUCUUUUAGUUAUCAAACUGUUAAAUACAUUUUAACUUUCAAAUUUUAUGAAUAAAGGAGAUGAAUCCUGUUAUUUUCUCAGUGUGAGUGUGAUGAUGUGUGUCAUAUGUGCCUAUGUAUGCACACACAUGUACUCAAGGAGCCUGAAAGGGACCAUGACUUUCUGGGCACUCAAUGCUACUUAUCUCUAACUCCUCCUUCAAAUGUCCCCAUUCUAAGUCUACUUCCUUAGGGAAUAGGUACAAAUAUAUCCCAU
rnacentral:lncRNA from 1 species